rnacentral:lncRNA from 1 species
AACUUCAUGUCCUGCCCAGCAUUAAGUCUUGCAUUGUCUGUCAGGCCAGGGUGGUGCCAAAGAUAACUUCUUGGAACAUUAUACCACAAUUGAAAAUUACUGGCCCAAUGGAUGAGGAAAUCAGUAAAGGAAGACUCAGAGGGCUGAAGAUUAAGACAUAAUCCAAAGACUCUCUGCUUGUCUAAAUCCCUUCUUCAAUUCCAGAAUGGACAGAGUUCUGCUUGAUUGAAAUCUGUUUGGGGCUGCUGGCAAGAAUUGGGGACAAUGACUACAUCAACAGAUGAGAAUACAGACCAUCUCUUUAUCUCCC